UACGUAGGUGACAAGCGUUGUCCGGAUUUACUGGGCGUAAAGAGCGCGCAGGCGGUCGUUCAAGUCGAGUGUGAAAGCCCCCGGCUCAACUGGGGAGGGUCACUCGAUACUGAUCGACUCGAAGGCAGGAGAGGGAAGUGGAAUUCCCGGUGUAGUGGUGAAAUGCGUAGAUAUCUGGAGGAACACCGGUGGCGAAGGCGGCAUCCUGGACCGAUACUGACGCUGAGGAGCGAAAGCCAGGGGAGCAAACGGG
rnacentral:rRNA from 1 species